rnacentral:rRNA from 1 species
AUGCAGUCGAGCGGAUGAGUGGAGCUUGCUCCAUGAUUCAGCGGCGGACGGGUGAGUAAUGCCUAAGAAUCUGCCUGGUAGUGGGGGACAACGUUUCGAAAGGAACGCUAAUACCGCAUACGUCCUACAGGAGAAAGUGGGGGAUCUUCGGACCUCACGCUAUCAGAUGACCCUAGGUCAGAUUAUCUAUUUGGUGAGGUAAAGGCUCACCAAGGCGACUAUCCGUAACUGGUCUGAGAGGAUGAUCACUCACACUGGAACUGACACACGGUCCACACUCCUACGGGAGGCAGCAGUGGGGAAUAUUGGACAAUGGGCGAAAGCCUGAUCCAGCCAUGCCGCGUGUGUGAAGAAGGUCUUCGGAUUGUAAAGCACUUUAAGUUGGGAGGAAGGGCACUAAGUUAAUACCUUGCUGUUUUGACGUUACCAACAGAAUAAGCACCGGCUAACUUCGUGCCAGCACCCGCGGUAAUACAAAGGGUGCAAGCGUUAAUCGGAAUUACUGGG